rfam:Ovis aries breed Texel chromosome 11, whole genome shotgun sequence.
UCUCAAGUGGUCCAGUGACUAAGACUCUGAGCUCCCAAUUCAGGGGGCCCAGGUUUGAUCCCUGGUCAGGGAA